rnacentral:rRNA from 1 species
AACGAACGCUGGCGGCAUGCUUAACACAUGCAAGUCGAACGCGGUCCUUCGGGACCGAGUGGCGCACGGGUGAGUAGCGCGUGGGAACCUGCCCUCUUGUGGGGGAUAACCGAGGGAAACCUCGGCUAAUACCGCAUAAGCCGGAGAAAUACCGGGAAGAUUUAUCGCGAGAGGAGGGGCCCGCGUCGGAUUAGCUUGUUGGUGGGGUAACGGCCUACCAAGGCGAUGAUCCGUAGCUGGUCUGAGAGGAUGAUCAGCCA